ACAAAGAUAUUUAACUCAAAAAUCAAAAUAAGGAGAACUUUUUUCGACCCGUCUGAUUUUUGAGGUUCGGUUCCCUCUGUGUGUUUUUUUCUCUUCUCUUUCCCUUUCUCAUUCU
rnacentral:ribozyme from 1 species